rnacentral:snRNA from 1 species
GACCUAUACCCGGCCGUCGGG